CUGACAAAAGAAGAAGAAAGUAGCUGAGAACCAGCAGCUGAAGAAAGCAAGAAAAUAUGAGUGAAGUCACAAAUGUCACCAAGGAAAGGAAGAACAGAAAAAUAACUUGAAUAUUCAAGAUGGGCAGCCUAGUUCAACGACACAUCAAGCCUUGUGAAAAGGUGACUCCGAGACAGAUUCAGAUGCUGCCCAAGCCAACCCGAGUUUACCAGGUUCCAGGAAUGACCUUGAAUUCCAGAUCCUUCUGCCCCCAUCAUCUGAGUGCUGGGUUACGGUUGGGUGGCUAUACCUGCCUCUCACCUGGGUCUUUGAAACAAAAGAGGGAAGAAAGAAAGAAGGAAAGAAAGAAAGAAAGAAAGAAAGAAAGAAAGAAAGAAAGAAAGAAGAAAAGAAAGAAAGAAGAAAGAAAGAAAGAAAGAAAGAAGAAAGAAAGAAAGAAAGAAGAAAGAAAGAAAGAAGAAAGAAGAAAGAAAGAAAGAAAGAAGAAAGAAAGAAAGAAAGAAAGAAAGAAAGAAGAAAAAAGGAAAGGAGAGAGAGAGAGAUUGAGAAUAUGAGAUCUUCAUUAACCAUAAAAGUCAGGGAUCGGGUAAAGCCUUGCAGCAUAAAUAACAUAAAUUCAAAAUAGUUGACAUUUCAUUCAGUCCACAAAAGAGCCUUGGCUGAACACUGAUAAUUUUACAUUUGAAUUUCUCAGGCGUAUCCAUUUCUAAGUACAGAGGUGAUCUGUGGUGUGGGCUGACAAGUUAUUCCGAUCUAUCUUCAGUGGGAAAACCAAGGUUUCACACCAAAAUGACAGCAUAAAGUCCCACACGUGUGGCUUCUAAGCUUAAAAAGCCUAAGAUGAAACUUCCCCUGAUCCUAUCAUCAAAAUAAACACUUACUAUAUUACCAAAUAUUACACAACUAAGAUCCAUCACUUCUGCUUUAAAUGCUUUGCCCUUUCCUGGGGUAUUUUAUUUGACAUGUGUCCAUGGUACAAAGACAAAUCCCUGUCUGCUUGAUAAGGUGUCAGAGCUCGCUUAGAGGUUAAGAAGGGGCCGUCGAGCUGUUUUUCUUCCACUGAGGGUUACAUGAGAGACUCGGUAGCGCUUGUUGAAAGAAUUUUACCUGUGGAUAAUAGCCCUUAUCUCACCGCUAUCUAUCAUGCUAUCGGUUUCUUUAUUACAGGAGUUUACCUUCGGGCAGCUCAUACACCAGCUGACAAUCUGUCCUCACCCCGAGACGGCAAGCCAAGCUCAGGUGUGUUACGGCUCCACCAGAAAAAGAUUAUUUGCCUUCUUUCCCUCGGUGAACAGCUGAAGCCAAAACGCAGCCCCUGGCACUCCAGCUGUACUCCGUCACAAGGCAGGGCCAGGAAGGUUCUAAUUCUUGCUUCCCAGAUCACACACUUUACAACUGAAGAGCGUCUCGGUUUUGCUCUUGAUCCUACUUUAACCUUUGCCAGCUCCUAGUCCUUUACUAAAGCAUUGAAAACUGUAAAAAGCCUCCUCAGUUCAAAUGCCCAUAAGCAGAGCCCCGAUCGAAUGGAAUGACAUCCCAUUAAACCAACUACUAGGCACUGAGAAAGGGAAAAAGAAAGGGGGCUGAGUGAGGGGGUCGAGAGGGAGGGACGUGGGAAUGCUUUUAAGUAACAAUGGGGAAUGAUUUUCAAGAUAUAUUGGGGGGAAUGGGAGAUGCGCAAAAUGGAGCAGUACCUUUUGUGUUUGAAAAGGUAGAAAAGCCUAAUGACUUCCAUACUCAUGUAGAGACCCUGAAGAUGACACUCAGAUCCACUAACAGGAGAACCGGGGUCCAACCGUGUAUCAAACCAGCAAGAUGACAGGCAUGCGAAAGAGGAUUCUCAUGACUGCCUUUCUCAUAUGUCUUAUUUUUGAACUAUAUAAAUAUGUAUAAAUAUAUUACCUAUUCAGAGAAAGGAAAAACAGUAGGAUGCUAAAAGAAUGGAGACAUAGACCAGAAAAUCUGGCCAUGGGCAAUGUAAGUUGAAAGAAUAUAUGUCAAUAAUUCAAAAAACUGAAAUUUUAGUUUUUAAAAUAUUUUUUUAGAUUGAUUUUAUGUUAUGUGAAUGAAUGCUUGCCUGCAUGUGUGCAUGUGCAUCAUGUGCAUGCUUGGUGCCCAAGGAAGUCAGGGGACGGUGGACCCUCUAGAACUGGAUGAUUACAAAUGAUUGUGAACCACCAUGUGGGCACCCAGGUUCUCUGCAAGAUCAACAAGUGCUCUCAACUGCUGAGCCGUAUCUCCAGACCUGGAGCAAAGCUGAGUAGAGCUUCCAGCUCUACCAACCCCUCAAGGGCUGCCUGGCCUGCGCACAUUAUUUGACCACCCAGUGCCUGCUCCACAAGAGUUGGGGGUAGGAUUGAGAAAGUUAGAACAAGGACAAGGAUACCACAAGAAGAUCUACAGAGUCAACUAACCUGGGUGCAUGGGGGAAGCUCUCAGAGACUAAAUGCCAACCAAAGAGCCUGCAGGGGCUGGGCCUAAGCCCCCUACACAUUUGUAGCAGAUGUGCAGCUUGGUCUUCAUGUGGGCUCCCUAACAAUUGCACCAAGGACUGUCUCAGUCUCUGUUCCCUGCCUUUGGAUCCCCUUUCCCUAGAUGGACUGCCUGGUCAGGCCUCAGUGGGAGAAGAUGUCCCAAGAUGGGUUAGCACCCAAGGGGGGCUUCCCCUUCUCCGAGGAGAAGAGGAGAGGAUAAUGGAGGAGGGGG
rnacentral:lncRNA from 1 species